rnacentral:rRNA from 1 species
UUUAUGAUGGCGACCGGCGCACGGGUGAGUAACGCGUAUCCAACCUACCCAUUACUAGGGAAUAACCCAGCGAAAGUUGGCCUAAUGCCCUAUGUAGUCGUUUGAUCGCCUGAGAUUUCGACGAAAGAUUUAUCGGUAUUGGAUGGGGAUGCGUCUGAUUAGCUUGUUGGCGGGGUAAAGGCCCACCAAGGCAACGAUCAGUAGGGGUUCUGAGGGGAAGGUCCCCCACAUUGGAACUGAGACACGGUCCAAACUCCUACGGGAGGCAGCAGCU